GUUGGGUAUGGUGGCGCAUGCCUAUAAUCCCAGUGACUUGGGAGCCUGAGACAGGCAGAUCACAAGUUCCAGGACAGCAUGGUCAACUUGGUAAGAACCUGUCUCAA
rnacentral:sRNA from 1 species